GAUAUUUGACAAACAUUUAAUCGUCUCGCUCUCGUCGAAUGUGUACGUUCAUAGUGUAAAUAUAAUUUUUGUUAAAGGAGCCAAAUUAGUCUACAAGUUGAUCCACCACUUUAAUAUUCCUGCCUCAAGUCAUCGUAUAGUAAAUUCAGAAAAGUUCAAUUUGAAAAGUAAAAUUCAACUCAUCUCCUUUGCUUUGAUUGACUUGUUUUUUAAGACAAAACUCGAUUUUACAAUGAAAAUCCAAACGACGUUUUUUAUCUACAUCUUUUGUCUGGGAUUUUUAUUAACGACUGCAAAGCCUAAUGCGAUUCACAAAUGGACAGGACUCAAAUGUGGAAUCAUAAACGAAAAGCUGCAUGACCGAACACUCAAUUUUGACACGUGCUUUGCGUACUGCGUAAGCACUGGUGGUUAUGGUGAAUGCAAAUCGAGACCGAACGAAUCGGAAAAUGGGAAUGGUGAAUGUCAAUGUGAAUACUGAAUCAGCUCCAGAAAACCGCUGUUGAAACAAUUUUCUUUCAUCAUUGAUAUACAAUUCAGACGCAAUUAGAUUAAAUGAAGGUUCAAUAAAAACGAAUUUCAACAGAAAAA